rnacentral:rRNA from 1 species
GUGGGGAAUAUUGGACAAUGGGGGGAACCCUGAUCCAGCCAUGCCGCGUGUGUGAAGAAGGCCUUUUGGUUGUAAAGCACUUUAAGCGAGGAGGAGGCUACCGAGAUUAAUACUCUUGGAUAGUGGACGUUACUCGCAGAAUAAGCACCGGCUAACUCUGUGCCAGCAGCCGCGGUAAUACAGAGGGUGCAAGCGUUAAUCGGAUUUACUGGGCGUAAAGCGCGCGUAGGUGGCCAAUUAAGUCAAAUGUGAAAUCCCCGAGCUUAACUUGGGAAUGGCAUUCGAUACUGGUUGGCUAGAGUAUGGGAGAGGAUGGUAGAAUUCCAGGUGUAGCGGUGAAAUGCGUAGAGAUCUGGAGGAAUACCGAUGGCGAAGGCAGCCAUCUGGCCUAAUACUGACACUGAGGUGCGAAAGCGUGGGGAGCAAACAGGAUUAGAAACCCUGGUAGUCC